rnacentral:rRNA from 1 species
GGGGGUGGGGGCGUGCUUACCAUGCAAGUCGACGAUGAAGCCGGAGCUUGCUCUGGUGGAUUAGUGGCGAACGGGUGAGUAACACGUGAGCAACCUGCCCUGGACUCUGGGAUAAGCGCUGGAAACGGCGUCUAAUACUGGAUACGAGACGUGGCCGCAUGGUCAACGUUUGGAAAGAUUUUUCGGUCUGGGAUGGGCUCGCGGCCUAUCAGCUUGUUGGUGAGGUAAUGGCUCACCAAGGCGUCGACGGGUAGCCGGCCUGAGAGGGUGACCGGCCACACUGGGACUGAGACACGGCCCAGACUCCUACGGGAGGCAGCAGUGGGGAAUAUUGCACAAUGGGCGGAAGCCUGAUGCAGCAACGCCGCGUGAGGGAUGACGGCCUUCGGGUUGUAAACCUCUUUUAGCAGGGAAGAAGCGAAAGUGACGGUACCUGCAGAAAAAGCGCCGGCUAACUACGUGCCAGCAGCCGCGGUAAUACGUAGGGCGCAAGCGUUAUCCGGAAUUAUUGGGCGUAAAGAGCUCGUAGGCGGUUUGUCGCGUCUGCUGUGAAAUCCCGAGGCUCAACCUCGGGCCUGCAGUGGGUACGGGCAGACUAGAGUGCGGUAGGGGAGAUUGGAAUUCCUGGUGUAGCGGUGGAAUGCGCAGAUAUCAGGAGGAACACCGAUGGCGAAGGCAGAUCUCUGGGCCGUAACUGACGCUGAGGAGCGAAAGGGUGGGGAGCAAACAGGCUUAGAUACCCUGGUAGUCCACCCCGUAAACGUUGGGAACUAGUUGUGGGGUCCUUUCCACGGAUUCCGUGACGCAGCUAACGCAUUAAGUUCCCCGCCUGGGGAGUACGGCCGCAAGGCUAAAACUCAAAGGAAUUGACGGGGACCCGCACAAGCGGCGGAGCAUGCGGAUUAAUUCGAUGCAACGCGAAGAACCUUACCAAGGCUUGACAUACACGAGAACGGGCCAGAAAUGGUCAACUCUUUGGACACUCGUGAACAGGUGGUGC